UAAAUACUGCAACCACCUGAGCCUAUUACCGUGCCAUCCAGCAUCUCCAUAAUUCUCUGGUCUCCAACAUUCAGCGAACAUCAACUCCAUUUCAUAUUGAACACGGAAAUGAAACUCCUCAUUCAAAUCAUUAUUCGAAUGAAGCCUCUCCGGCUGGAUUUAAUUGAAGGUGAGAUGACGGAGGUGAGAGCAGGCCACCGGCUGACUCAGAACCUGUGUGUCGCGUUGCAGAUCCUAGGUCUUCAGCACUGAUCUGAGAUCUUUUUAACAAUCACAAUCAGACAGCAGUAAGACGGUUUUCUUUAGGUUUCCUGCCUGUACAUCUAGAAAUCUGAAGUAGGUUCUAUGUCAUCUUGAGGGUUCAAAAACCAGAGGCCUUCCAACCUACCUGACCUGCUAACAGGUACAACUUCAGCUAAUCAUCACUGAAGUCAGAAGAGGACCUGCCGAAGAGCAAGUAUCUCCUGCCAACGAACAGAUCCAAGAGAAGUGUCCAGAGCAACAAGAUGUGCAACAUCCUUUGACUAUUCGACAUGAUUUUACAGGUCAGAGGAGAAAACAGUUCAGCUCCAUUGACAACCACUUGGUACUUGGAAACACAUUUAAUAGUCCCUCUGUGUAAUUGUUCAUGUAAUGGUCUGGCUGGAACACAGCACCUCUGCUGUUUAUGAGCCAGGGUCGCAAAUUUGGUUUGACAGGUGGGGGAACCACCGGUGGGAGUUGGUCAGCAGCGAAUGAUCAACAAAGGCUUUUUUCUGAUCACUGAAUGUUCUUUUGUCAUAACCUGUACUAGUGUACCACAGCCAACACCGCACAGAGAUCAGAAUCUCUUUAAAUAUUAUUUGAAUUGUACAUUUAUUGUAUAAGUUUCAGUAUUUACAGUAUAUUAUGGUUAAUUAUUAUUUUACUGUCUGAAUUUUUUAUUUUAAUCACAUGCUUAGAAAACCAAGAGUAUCUACGUAAUAUAUUGUGGAAUAAAGAAAUACGGUUAUACUGUUAAAAGAAAAAAAACAA